CACGAAUCGUAGUUUCUGAAGCGCCGUGCGUGAGGCAGCUGCCUGGGUCACUUGAGCCAGCUAACUACAAGUCCCGACGGGCUCAGCGCCUGAACGCUUCCGGCUCGCGCGUCUCCUCCCGUUCUCAGCCAGCAGCAGAGGGAGCACGAUGAAUCCAGCGGGUGAUGCUGCCGCUCCCGGGCAGCAGGCGGGGGAUGCUGCCCAAGGACCCCGCAUGCCUCUCUAGAGCAUGAGCUCAGGCAAGAGCACCCGCUACAACCGCUUCUCUGGGGGGCCCACCAACCUUCCUUCCCCAGACGUCAGCACCGGGACCAGAAUGGAAACGACCUUCGGGCCCGCCUUUUCUGCUGUCACCACCAUCACCAAAGCUGAUGGAAGCAGCACGUACAAACAGCACCGAAGGACACCUUCCUCCUCCAGCACCCUUGCCUACUCCCCAAGGGAUGAGGAGGACAGCAUGCCCCCUAUCAACACUCCCCGCCGUUCCGACUCAGCCAUCUCUGUGCGCUCCCUGCACUCCGAGUCCAGCAUGUCCUUGCGCUCCACGUUCUCACUGCCUGAAGAGGAAGAGGAGCCGGAGCCACUGGUGUUUUCUGAGCAGCCCUCAGUGAAGCUGUGCUGCCAACUCUGCUGUAGCGUGUUCAAGGACCCUGUGAUCACCACAUGUGGGCACACGUUCUGUAGAAGAUGUGCCUUGAAGUCAGAGAAAUGUCCCGUGGACAACGCCAAGCUGACAGUGGUGGUGAACAACAUUGCGGUGGCUGAGCAGAUUGGGGAGCUCUUCAUCCACUGCAGGCACGGCUGUCGAGUGGCAGGUGUGGGGAAGCCCAGCGUCUUUGAGGUGGACCCCCGGGGGUGCCCCUUCACCAUAAAGCUCAGUGCCCGAAAGGAUCACGAAGGCAGCUGUGACUACAGGCCAGUGCGCUGCCCCAACAACCCCAACUGUCCUCCCCUCCUCAAGAUGAACCUGGAGGCCCACCUCAAGGAAUGCGAGCAUAUCAAGUGUCCCCACUCCAAGUACGGGUGUACAUUCAUUGGGAACCAGGACACAUAUGAGACACAUCUGGAGACAUGCCGCUUUGAGGGCCUGAAGGAAUUCCUGCAGCAGACAGAUGACCGCUUCCACGAGAUGCAUGUAGCACUGGCACAAAAGGACCAGGAGAUUGCCUUCCUGCGCUCUAUGCUGGGCAAGCUCUCAGAGAAGAUCGACCAACUAGAGAAGAGCCUUGAGCUCAAGUUUGAUGUCCUGGAUGAGAACCAGAGCAAACUCAGUGAGGACCUCAUGGAGUUCCGGAGGGAUGCAUCCAUGCUGAAUGAUGAGCUGUCCCAUAUCAAUGCACGGUUGAACAUGGGCAUCCUAGGAUCCUAUGACCCUCAGCAGAUCUUCAAGUGCAAAGGGACUUUUGUGGGCCACCAGGGUCCUGUCUGGUGUCUCUGUGUCUACUCCAUGGGUGACCUACUCUUUAGUGGCUCUUCUGACAAGACUAUCAAGGUGUGGGAUACGUGUACCACCUAUAAGUGCCAGAAAACACUAGAAGGCCAUGAUGGUAUCGUGCUGGCUCUCUGCAUCCAGGGGUGCAAACUAUACAGCGGUUCUGCAGAUUGUACCAUCAUCGUAUGGGACAUCCAGAACCUGCAGAAGGUGAACACCAUCCGGGCCCAUGACAACCCUGUGUGCACCCUAGUAUCCUCUCACAACAUGCUCUUCAGUGGCUCCCUAAAGGCCAUCAAGGUCUGGGACAUCGUGGGUACUGAGCUUAAGUUGAAGAAGGAGCUCACAGGCCUCAACCACUGGGUGCGGGCCCUGGUAGCAGCCCAGAGCUACCUUUACAGUGGCUCCUACCAGACAAUCAAGAUCUGGGACAUCCGGACCCUUGAUUGUAUCCACGUCCUGCAGACGUCUGGUGGCAGUGUCUACUCUAUUGCUGUGACAAAUCACCACAUUGUCUGUGGCACCUAUGAGAACCUCAUCCAUGUGUGGGACAUCGAGUCCAAGGAGCAAGUGCGGACCCUCACAGGCCAUGUAGGCACUGUGUACGCCCUGGCAGUCAUCUCAACACCAGACCAGACCAAAGUCUUCAGUGCAUCUUAUGAUCGGUCCCUCCGCGUCUGGAGUAUGGACAACAUGAUCUGCACACAGACCUUACUCCGCCACCAGGGCAGUGUGACUGCUCUGGCUGUGUCCCGGGGCCGGCUCUUUUCAGGGGCUGUGGAUAGUACCGUAAAGGUUUGGACAUGCUGACAGAAUCCAAGCCAGGCCUCAACUCUCUCUGGACCUUGCCCGAGCCAGGCUGGCCACACAAAGUGGUCUUUGGGCUUUUGCCUGCCAUGUGGGGGCAAGUAAAUGUGCUCAAGUGGCCAAGCAGUGUCCACCCUACUCCACACUCCAGCAAGCCUCCCUCUACUUGGCCCUGCCUUCACUCUUGCCAGGGCAAAGCCCAGGACCCUCUGGGUGCCAGCCAGCUGACAUCAGUUCCCUGCCCAGACGAUCCCCCAUCCCCACCUGCCAGAGCCCCAGCCUGGGCUGCCCACUGAUGGCUGGCUGGUCAACUCACCAGGAAGCCCCAGGUGUGACAGUUGGAGGAGGACCCAUGCCCAGAUGUCACCCUCCCUGGCCCCCUCCAUCAGCCUGCCGCACAAUUGCUGGUUUUCAGCGGUUUUAAAGUUUUGUGUUUUUUUUUUAAGAAAUGUCAAAGUUGUGCCCAACACUUGUGGAUCAGCAAACACAAUAGAGGAGACCAGUCAGUACUUUUUAGAAGAAGGAAAGAGGAAGAGAGAAAGGACGAAAAAUGACCACAUAACACAGCCUGGACCAUGAGCAGAAGCAUCCAUGGGAACUGAAUGAGGCCCUGGGGAGGGAGUCAGACUCCCUCACAUAUCUACCCACAGUCUGGCAUGCAUACCCCUGCACCCAUACUGCUGUCACUUGGCUGACAUGCCCAAGAUCACAUGCUGCCCCAGGGCACUCCUAUCAGCAACCCCGGGGCAUGGCCAGCCCAAGAGGAGAAAGCCCUCUCACAAUCGGGCACAGAGGACACAGCCUGUCAGCCAGCAAGGCACAUCCUUCAAGUUCUUCCAACGCAGAGAAGUUACAAGAGAGGAGCAGGGGAGAGACGCUGGGCAGAGCCCCUCCCCAGACAGUCUCCUAGGUGUGUUCAUGGCCAGGACAUGGCCACUCAUAGAUACAGGGAGGGAAGGACACACAGAUAGAUGGCCUGGGUCCCUGACAGCUUUAGUCUCAAGCUGGGCACCAGUGUCCUUUCAGUUGGUA